GAGUGCUUCUUAUUCCAUCAAAUCUUUUGGACAGCGAAACCUCUGAAUAGUUUCCUACUCCUCUCUCAAUAUGCAAUCAUCUUGCAUUGACUCGAUAACAAAUAAUUAUUUGUCCGCAACUGAAUGUAAAAAUCACUUUUACAUUACUUAUUCAACACCGAAAGCAAAAACUUUUCGGCCAAAAAAAAACGUAACGCUCCAGCGACUACCGCCCAACCCUAACGAGCCGCACGCAUACAACGAACACUGAACCCAAAAUCACACUUAAAAUACACUUGACGUUUCACUUAAAAGUGGGAGUUCAGUGAAUUUCUUCAUUUCAAGUGGCUCAUGUAGAUUUCACUUACCCGUCACUUAUGUUUCAAGUGACCGAAUCAAUGUUCACUAACUCAUCACAUAAGUUUUAAGUGACUGUCACUUGAAAUUCCUCUGAAAAUCCACUUACUUCGCCGCUCACUUCAAUUUCAUUACAUUCUCACUUAAAAUUCACUUGACCCGUCACUUAAUUGUCAAAUUCACUUGACCGGUCACUUAAAAUUGAAAUGAAUGUACAGGUAGCGAAUGACAGCCAUGUUGUGAAGGAUUGUUUUUAUUAUGGAAACAUAACAGAAUUGUGUAUGAGCUGAGCCAGAAAAAAAUAUCCUGUGAGGCGGAUAAUACGUCGUAGUGCAACUAUUCAUCCGAAUGAGGGGCCAAAAUAUGAAUCGGCAGAAGUUGUAACUUCUACAGAGCAACUAUGAAUAAAUUGGCCAUGGUGGGAAAUCUUUGUUGGAUGUUUCGGAAAUGCUUCCCGAUGGUAUUUUUAUUCUGAAAUUUUCAAGAACAGUGCAAAUAAAAAAAAAAUCAACCUAAAUUUUGGGAAAAAAUCGAAAAAGUAGAUGAGUAUUUCACGCCAAAACUUUAAUUGGAACCCAU